CCCAGACUCCUACGGGAGGCAGCAGUGAGGAAUAUUGGUCAAUGGUCGGGAGACUGAACCAGCCAAGCCGCGUGAGGGAUGAAGGUACAGAGUAUCGUAAACCUCUUUUGUCAGGGAACAAAGGCGGGGACGUGUCCCCGGAUGAGUGUACCUGAAGAAAAAGCAUCGGCUAACUCCGUGCCAGCAGCCGCGGUAAUACGGAGGAUGCGAGCGUUAUCCGGAUUUACUGGGUGUAAAGGGAGCGUAGACGGCGAAGAAAGUCUGGAGUGAAAGCCCGCGGCUUAACCGCGGAACUGCUUUGGAAACUUUUUGGCUGGAGUACCGGAGAGGUAAGCGGAAUUCCUAGUGUAGCGGUGAAAUGCGUAGAUAUUAGGAGGAACACCAGUGGCGAAGGCGGCUUACUGGACGGUAACUGACGUUGAGGCUCGAAAGCGUGGGGAGCAAACAGGAUUAGAUACCCGCGUA
rnacentral:rRNA from 1 species